rnacentral:rRNA from 1 species
AAUCAACGCUGGCGGUGUGCCUAACACAUGCAAGUCGAACGAGAAAGGGGUAGCAAUACCCUGAGUAAAGUGGCGCACGGGUGAGUAACACGUGACUAACCUACCCUGGAGUGGGGGAUAACUGAGGGAAACCUUAGCUAAUACCGCAUAAUACCCACGGGUCAAAGGAGCAAUUCGCUUCAGGAGGGGGUCGCGGCCGAUUAGUUAGUUGGCGGGGUAAUGGCCCACCAAGACAGUGAUCGGUAUCCGGCCUGAGAGGGCGCACGGACACACUGGAACUGAAACACGGUCCAGACUCCUACGGGAGGCAGCAGUGGGGAAUUUUGCGCAAUGGGGGAAACCCUGACGCAGCAACGCCGCGUGGAGGAUGAAGUACUUCGGUACGUAAACUCCUUUCGAUCGGGACGAUAAUGACGGUACCGGAAGAAGAAGCCCCGGCUAACUUCGUGCCAGCAGCCGCGGUAAUACGAGGGGGGCAAGCGUUGUUCGGAAUUAUUGGGCGUAAAGGGUGCGUAGGCGGUUUGGUAAGUCUUUUGUGAAAUCUAUGGGCUCAACUCAUAGACUGCAAGGGAAACUGCCGGGCUUGAGUGUGGGAGAGGUGAGUGGAAUUUCCGGUGUAGCGGUGAAAUGCGUAGAUAUCGGAAGGAACACCUGUGGCGAAAGCGGCUCACUGGACCACAACUGACGCUGAUGCACGAAAGCUAGGGGAGCAAACAGGAUUAGAUACCCUGGUAGUCCUAGCCCUAAACGAUGACUGCUUGGUGUGACGGGUACCCAAUCCCGCCGUGCCGUAGCUAACGCGUUAAGCAGUCCGCCUGGGGAGUACGGUCGCAAGGCUG